AAUAUUGUACAAUGGGGGCAACCCUGAUCCAGCCAUGCCGCGUGUGUGAAGAAGGUCUUCGGAUUGUAAAGCACUUUAAGUAGGGAGGAAGGGCUUUAGGUUAAUACCCUUAAGUUUUGACGUUACCAACAUAAUAAGCACCUGCUAACUCUGUUCCAGCAACCGCGGUAAUACAGAGGGUGCAAGCGUUAAUCGGAAUUACUUGGCGUAAAGCGCGCGUAGGUGGUUCAGUAAGAUGGGUGUGAAAUCCCCGGGCUUAACCUGGGAACUGCUUUCAUAACUGCUGAGCUAGAGUACGGUAGAGGGUAGUGGAAUUUCCUGUGUAGCGGUGAAAUGCGUAGAUAUAGGAAGGAACACCAGUAGCGAAGGCGACUACCUGGACUGAUACUGACACUGAGGUGCGAAAGCGUGGGGAGCAAAC
rnacentral:rRNA from 1 species